rnacentral:rRNA from 1 species
UACAGAGGGUGCGAGCGUUGUUCGGAAUUAUUGGGCGUAAAGCGCUUGUAGGCGGCUUGUUAAGUUCCGUGUGAAAUCCCCAGGCUUAACCUGGGAAGUGCGCGGAAACUGGCGAGCUUGAAUGCCGGAGAGGGUCGCGGAAUUCCCGGUGUAGAGGUAGAAAUUCGUAGAUAUCGGGAGGAACACCAGUGGCGAAGGCGGACGACCUGGACGGACAUUGACGCUG